GACAAACUUUUCCUUUUUUUUUUUCUUGCGCAAAUUUCAGCUCAUAAACUUCUCCUUCUGAGCUGGUUUCUGUUUUACUGUGAGGUGAGACAGCCGGUCGUUCUCAAGAGUGCCUCGGCUUGUCUCCAUGCGACCUGCAACACGGAGGUGUUUGGAAAGAUCCUGGCCUGGAAGAAUAACCGAAGUGAGAGGACGGAGGGAGAAUAAUAAGAAGAAGAAUAUACGGCUGGAGUGAAAGAGGAGUUCAACGUGUGGAAAUCCGCAGGAGACAGAUGAUGUCAUCACCGCCACAUUUGGUUUAUCUCACUCGACUGUCGACCCCCCACAGGAGACCCAAGUUGGAUGGGAGGAAGUUGGAAGUCACAAGAGGGGUAUG